rnacentral:rRNA from 1 species
GACGUAGGGCGCGAGCGUUGCCCGGAUUUAUUGGGCGUAAAGAGCUCGUAGGCGGCUUGUCGCGUCGUCCGUGAAAACCCACAGCUCAACUGUGGGCUUGCGGUCGAUACGGGCAGGCUAGAGUUCGGUAGGGGAGACUGGAAUUCCUGGUGUAGCGGUGAAAUGCGCAGAUAUCAGGAGGAACACCGGUGGCGAAGGCGGGUCUCUGGGCCGAUACUGACGCUGAGGAGCGAAAGCGUGGGGAGCGAACAGG